rnacentral:rRNA from 1 species
ACAAGCGGUGGAGCAUGUGGUUAAUUCGACGCAACGCGAAGAACCUUACCUGGGCUUGACAUCCCGAUCGCACCUUAUGGAAACAUAGGGGUCAGUUCGGCUGGAUCGGUGACAGGUGCUGCAUGGCUGUCGUCAGCUCGUGUCGUGAGAUGUUGGGUUAAGUCCCGCAACGAGCGCAACCCUUGUCCUUAGUUGCCAGCAUUCAGUUGGGCACUCUAAGGAGACUGCCGGUGUCAAACCGGAGGAAGGUGGGGAUGACGUCAAGUCCUCAUGGCCCUUAUGUCCAGGGCUACACACGUGCUACAAUGGCCGGUACAAAGGGGCGCAAGACCGCGAGGUGGAGCAAAUCCCAAAAAACCGGUCUCAGUUCGGAUUGGAGUCUGCAACUCGACUCCAUGAAGUUGGAAUCGCUAGUAAUCGCGUAUCAGCAUGACGCGGUGAAUACGUUCCCGGGCCUU